CUAGCUCAGUGGUCACCACUAAGAUUCUGAUAAGGGCCAAGUAUAAUUUUUGAAAAUUACUUGCUGCUCGCUUAUAGUAAAUUAAUUCGAAUUUUUAUUGUAAUAUUGACCUGAAAGAAAAAUGUCUUUGUAAGUGUAAUUUUUUUUAUUAUAUACAUUUUUGCUCGUACCUACCUAAUUAUCUGCCAAACUGGUAAUUCAGUUAAAGUUAAAAAUCGACAGAUAAAAUAAACAAGAAUAAUGAGAAA